rnacentral:snRNA from 1 species
AUUGCUUCUCGGCCUUUUGGCUAAGAUCAAGUAUAGUAUCUGUUCUUAUCAGUUUAAAAGGAAUCUUGGGAAAAACUGAUUGGUAGCCUUAUACAGUAGAUUAUCAGGUCAUGUUUGCACUUCUGUGAGUGUUGGUAGAAAGGUG